UACAGAGGUCUCAAGCGUUGUUCGGAUUCAUUGGGCGUAAAGGGUGCGUAGGCGGCGCGGUAAGUCGGGUGUGAAAUCUUGGAGCUUAACUCCGAAACUGCAUUCGAUACUGCCGUGCUUGAGGACUGGAGAGGAGACUGGAAUUUACGGUGUAGCGGUGAAAUGCGCAGAUAUCAGGAAGAACACCCGUGGCGAAAGCGGCUCUCUGGAACGGUACUGACGCUGAGACGCGAAAGCGUGGGGAGCGAACAGG
rnacentral:rRNA from 1 species